UACGGGGGGGGUAAGCGUUGUUCGGAAUUACUGGGCGUAAAGGGCUCGUAGGCGGCCAACUAAGUCAUACGUGAAAUCCCUCAGCUUAACUGGGGAACUGCGUGUGAUACUGGAUGGCUUGGAUUUGGGAGAGGGAUGCGGAAUUCCAGGUGUAGCGGUGAAAUGCGUAGAUAUCUGGAGGAACACCGGUGGCGAAGGCGGCAUCCUGGACCGAGAUUGACGCUGAGGCGCGAAAGCCAGGGGAGCAAACAGG
rnacentral:rRNA from 1 species